UACGUAGGGGCCGAGCGUUGUCCGGAGUUAUUGGGCGUAAAGCGCGCGCAGGCGGCCUCGCGCGCCCGACGUGAAAGCCCCCGGCUUAACCGGGGAGGGUCGUUGGGGACGGCGGGGCUUGAGGGCGGGAGAGGUCGGUGGAAUUCCCGGUGUAGUGGUGAAAUGCGUAGAGAUCGGUAGGAACACCAGUGGCGAAGGCGGCGAUCUGGGAAGAUACUGACGCUGAGGUGCGAAAGCGUGGGGAGCAAACAGG
rnacentral:rRNA from 1 species